CCCGCAGUUUCUCGUCCUGACAUUAAAGUUUUAUUCUAGCUAAAGAAUUUCCUGGUUUGUUGUUUCACAUGUGAGGUUUUCCGCGAUGUUUGAAGAGUCUAAAGGGUUUUGAAGGAGUUGUUAAUCGCAGUGUUUUGUAUUAGGGUUUAGAGAAAUCUAGAUUUAGUAAUCUACUUAGUCCCGGCAAAAUUCGUGCCAGCCGCCGCGGUUACACGAAAGGGGCAAGGAAAUUUUAUUGGUUUGUAAUUAGUUGUAAAUAGAUUAGACUUGGAUUUUUAUUAGGUGAAAUUUUAAAGAUCCAAUUAAUCGAAAAGAGAUUUGGUGAAGUUAUGAAAUUUAGGAGAGAAACUAGGAUUAGAUACCCUAUUAUUCUAAACGUUAAGGAAAAGAACCUGAGUAGUAAUAGUUAAAGGCUUGAAACUCAAAGAAUUUGGCGGUGUUUUAGUCCGUUCAGAGGAACCUGUCCCGUAAUCGAUAAUCCACGAUUACUUAACUUGGAUUGGUAGUCAGCUUGUAUACCGCCGUCAAAAGAGUGAUUCUAGAGAAUAUCCUCCAAUACCUUAAUUGAGAGUUAUGUCAGGUCAAGGUGCAGCUUAUGUUUAAGGGGAGAUGGGUUACAAUAGGAGGGUACCUAAAUGGAUAUUAGGUUGAAAUAUUUAAUGGAAGGUGGAUUUGAAUGUAAUGAAGGCUAUAGAGUUUUUUUGAAAUAGGCUCUAAAACAAGCACACAUCGCCCGUCGCUCUCGUUUAUUAAGGCGAGAUAAGUCGUAACAAAGUAGGUGUACCGGAAGGUGCUUCUAGAAAGU
rnacentral:ncRNA from 1 species